UUGAUCCUGGCUCAGAACGUACGCUGGCGGCGUGGAUUAGGCAUGCAAGUCGAGCGAGAAAGGUUCCUUCGGGGACUGAGUACAGCGGCGAACUGGUGAAUACAAGACGAGUAACGUGCCCGAAUGUGGGGGAUAACCUUGGGAAACCAGGGCUAAUACCGCAUGUCGUCUUUCUCCCGCGGGAGAAAGGAAAAAGGCACUUGUGUCGCAUUCGGAUCGGCUCGUCUCCCAUUAGCUUGUUGGUGGGGUAAUGGCCUACCAAGGCUACGAUGGGUAGCUGGCCUGAGAGGGUGGUCAGCCACACUGGGACUGAGAUACGGCCCAGACUCCUACGGGGGGCAGCAGUCUAGAAGCUUCCACAAUGGACGAAAGUCUGAUGGAGCGACGCCGCGUGUGGGAUGAAGGCCCUUGGGUUGUAAACCACUGUCAGGAGGGAAUAAAGCCCCGGUGGAGGACCUCCGGGGUUUGAAGGUACCUCCAGAGGAAGCACCGGCUAACUCCGUGCCAGCAGCCGCGGUAAUACGGAGGGUGCGAGCGUUGUUCGGAAUCAUUGGGCGUAAAGGGUGCGCAGGCGGAUUGGCAAGUCUCUUGGUUAAAUUUUCACCGCUCAACGGGAAAAACGCCGGAGAUACUGCCAGUCUUGAGAGCGGUAGGGGUGAGUGGAAUUCCUGGUGUAACGGUGGAAUGUUUAGAUAUCAGGAAGAACACCGGUGGCGAAGGCGACUCACUGGACCGCAUCUGACGCUGAGGCACGAAAGCUAGGGGAGCGAACAGGAUUAGAUACCCUGGUAGUCCUAGCCGUAAACGGUGAGCACUAGGUGUGGGGGGUUAUCGACCCCUUCCGUGCCGUAGCCAACGCAUUAAGUGCUCCGCCCUGGGAAGUACG
rnacentral:rRNA from 1 species